CACGUAGGGCGCAAGCGUUGUCCGGAUUCAUUGGGCGUAAAGAGCUCGUAGGCGGUUUGGUAAGUCGGGUGUGAAAACUCAGGGCUCAACUCUGAGAUGCCACCCGAUACUGCUAUGACUAGAGUCCGGUAGAGGAGUAUGGAAUUCCUGGUGUAGCGGUGAAAUGCGCAGAUAUCAGGAGGAACACCAAUUGCGAAGGCAGUACUCUGGGCCGGAACUGACGCUGAGGAGCGAAAGCGUGGGUAGCGAACAGGAUUAGAUACCCUGGUAGUCCACGCCGUAAACGUUGGGCACUAGGUGUGGGGCUCUUCCAAUGAGCUCCGUGCCGUAGCUAACGCAUUAAGUGCCCCGCCUGGGGAGUACGGCCGCAAGGCUAAA
rnacentral:rRNA from 1 species